AGGAGGAACAGCCCCAGUGGCGAGGCCAGCUCUGGAAACCUGGAUUCAGCUCCGGCAGGAACUCCGUCUGCAGGGCCUGGAGGCUCCGGGGCGGG
rnacentral:pre_miRNA from 1 species